GAUGAAGAACGUAGCGAAAUGCGAUACUUGGUGUGAAUUGCAGAAUCCCGUGAACCAUCGAGUCUUUGAACGCAAGUUGCGCCCGAAGCCAUUAGGCCGAGGGCACGCCUGCCUGGGCGUCACACGUCGUUGCCCCCCCAUCUACUCCUUCGGGAUUGCGGGGGGCGGAUGAUGGCCUCCCGUGCGCCUCGUCGCGCGGUUGGCCUAAAUGCCAAGUCCUCGGCGACGCACGCCACGACAAUCGGUGGUUGCGAAACCUCGGUUGCCCGUCGUGUGCGGUCGUCGCGCAUCGAGGGCUCGAAAAAAUUGCCGGGCUUCGGCUCGACUUUCAACGCGACCCCAGGUCAGGCGGGGUUACCCGCUGAAUUUAAGUAUAUCAAUAAGCGGAGGA
rnacentral:misc_RNA from 1 species